GUGCGCCUACGGGGGGCAGCAGUGGGGGAUAUUGCACAAUGGGGGAAACCCUGAUGCAGCGACGCCGCGUGUGGGAAGACGGUCCUCUGGAUUGUAAACCACUGUCCCCAGGGACGAAGAUGACGGUACCUGCAAAGGAAGCACCGGCUAACUCCGUGCCAGCAGCCGCGGUAAUACGGAGGGUGCGAGCGUUAAUCGGAAUUACUGGGCGUAAAGCGCUCGUAGGCGGUAUGU
rnacentral:rRNA from 1 species